AGAGUUUGAUCCUGGCUCAGAUUGAACGCUGGCGGCAUGCCUUACACAUGCAAGUCGAACGGCAGCGGACCUUCGGGUGCCGGCGAGUGGCGAACGGGUGAGUAAUGUAUCGGAACGUACCUUUCAGUGGGGGAUAACGUAGCGAAAGUUACGCUAAUACCGCAUAUUCUCUGAGGAGGAAAGCAGGGGACCUUCGGGCCUUGCGCUGAUGGAGCGGCCGAUAUCAGAUUAGCUAGUUGGUGAGGUAAAGGCUCACCAAGGCUACGAUCUGUAGCGGGUCUGAGAGGAUGAUCCGCCACACUGGGACUGAGACACGGCCCAGACUCCUACGGGAGGCAGCAGUGGGGAAUUUUGGACAAUGGGCGAAAGCCUGAUCCAGCCAUGCCGCGUGAGUGAAGAAGGCCUUCGGGUUGUAAAGCUCUUUCGGACGGGAAGAAAUCAUGAGGGCUAAUAUCCCUUGUGGAUGACGGUACCGUAAUAAGAAGCACCGGCUAACUACGUGCCAGCAGCCGCGGUAAUACGUAGGGUGCGAGCGUUAAUCGGAAUUACUGGGCGUAAAGCGUGCGCAGGCGGUUUUGUAAGACAGGCGUGAAAUCCCCGGGCUCAACCUGGGAACUGCGCUUGUGACUGCAUCACUUGAGUACGGCAGAGGGGGGUGGAAUUCCACGUGUAGCAGUGAAAUGCGUAGAGAUGUGGAGGAACACCGAUGGCGAAGGCAGCCCCCUGGGUCGAUACUGACGCUCAUGCACGAAAGCGUGGGUAGCAAACAGGAUUAGAUACCCUGGUAGUCCACGCCCUAAACGAUGUCAACUAGGUGUUGGGUGGGUAAAACCAUUUAGUACCGUAGCUAACGCGUGAAGUUGACCGCCUGGGGAGUACGGCCGCAAGGUUAAAACUCAAAGGAAUUGACGG
rnacentral:rRNA from 1 species